UUUUCAGAUCGCGUCAAUGAUGGCGGUUCGCCGCCAUCGAAGUCAUGAGAAGUUCAUUGAACCUUAUCAUUUAGAGGGAGGAGAAGUCGUAACAAGGUUACCGUAGGUGAACCUGCGGUACGAUCAUUG
rnacentral:rRNA from 1 species